rnacentral:rRNA from 1 species
UACGUAGGUGGCAAGCGUUGUCCGGAUUUACUGGGCGUAAAGGGCGUGCAGGCGGUUUGUUAAGUGCAGGGUGAAAGCUCCCGGCUCAACUGGGAGAGGUCCUUGCAUACUGGCGAACUCGAGGGAGGCAGAGGAAAGUGGAAUUCCCGGUGUAGUGGUGAUAUGCGUAGAUAUCGGGAGAAACACCAGUGGCGAAAGCGGCCACCUGGACUGUACCUGACGCUCAAACGCGAAAGCUAGGGGAGCGAACGGG